rnacentral:rRNA from 1 species
AGAGUUUGAUUAUGGCUCAGGACGAACGCUGGCGGUAUGCUUAACACAUGCAAGUCGAACGAGAAGGUUUUGAAUGAUCCUUCGGGUGAAAUUAGAACUGGAAAGUGGCGAACGGGUGAGUAACGCGUGGGUAACCUGCCCUAUGGAAAGGAAUAGCCUCGGGAAACUGGGAGUAAAGCCUUAUAUUAUGGUUUUGUCGCAUGGCAAGAUCAUGAAAACUCCGGUGCCAUAGGAUGGACCCGCGUCCCAUUAGCUAGUUGGUGAGAUAACAGCCCACCAAGGCGACGAUGGGUAACCGGUCUGAGAGGGCGAACGGUCACACUGGAACUGAGACACGGUCCAG